UACGGAGGGGGCUAGCGUUGUUCGGAAUUACUGGGCGUAAAGCGCACGUAGGCGGCUUUGUAAGUUAGAGGUGAAAGCCCAGAGCUCAACUCUGGAACUGCCUUUAAGACUGCAUCGCUUGAAUCAUGGAGAGGUCAGUGGAAUUCCGAGUGUAGAGGUGAAAUUCGUAGAUAUUCGGAAGAACACCAGUGGCGAAGGCGACUGACUGGACAUGUAUUGACGCUGAGGUGCGAAAGCGUGGGGAGCAAACAGG
rnacentral:rRNA from 1 species